AGAUCAGGAACGGUCCCUGGGGUUGGCCUGGUUCACGCUCCAUUCUCGCUGCUUCCAGCACGUUUUCCGGUAUCGUUCUUCAAUCAAGCAUGCGAGCUGGCUCCUAUCUUCAAUGAGCUCGUGGAUCGUGUCAGCUUGGAUGGGGAGUUCUUGCAAGCUGCUUUGUCUAGAACAAAGCAGGUUGAUGAAUUUACUUCAAGGCUGCUAGAAAUUCAUGAUAAGAUGAUGUCUAUAAAUAAGAAAGAGGAUAUACACUUAGGAUUGCACCGGUUUGACUAUAUGCUGGAUUCUGAAACCAAUUCACGACUUCAAAUUGAGCUCAACACUAUCCCAUCAUCCUUUCCUGGCCUUGGCUCCCUUGUCAGUGAACUUCAAAGGUUGUACAAAAUGAUAUUCCACCAGAAAGCAUGGAUGCCAUGCGCCCGGUGCAGCAGCACUUGCCAACACAGACAAGCACUCCAGCCUCCAAAAUGAAUAACCUUC